AAAAAAAGAAUACACUGCCGCCAGACACACACGUCUCGUCCCCACCUCUUCCCGACCCCUCGCUCCCGAUCUCGUCUCUUUCCUGCCAAAUAUCGUCGCCGCCGGUGAGAGGAAGGAGCGCAGCGGAGGCACCGAGGAGGAGGGGGUCGCCUCGCUCGCUUCUGCUGACGUCGAUCAUGCCCACUGCGGCGGGCGCGGCGAGGCGAGCCCCAAGCCGCAGGACACCGGGCACGGCCACCCCCGCUGCCGCCGCCGCCGCAGGGACAUGAAGAGCAGGGCCGCGGGAGUUGGCGAGGGCUCCGAGGAGGGAUCCGGCCCCGAUCCUGACCCGCAGCCCCAGGCGAGCUCCGGUUCCGCCGCCCCGUAAUCCGCUCGAGCCGCGCCUAAUGCCAUGGUUUAUUGCAGGUGGAGGUGGAGUACGUGCCGGAGAAGCCCGACCUCGGCGCCGACCAUCCCCGCCUCCGCGCGUGUGUCUUCGUUGCCAUCCGGUGCAGACGCCCAUCCCGCGCUACCUGCAAUGACAGAUUGAUGUAAGCAUGCUUCCUGUCCUGAUGCCUAAUUUUGGGUCUCAGUUUUGAGUUUUCCUUGGUUUGUCUUCGUGAUGCCUAAUUUUUGGCUCUCACUGUUUAAUUCUUCUUGGUUUGUUUGGAAUUACAGGCCUUAUUCCCGGACUGGGUCUUGUGACAAUAAACCUGGAGACAUACAAGAUCGAUGAGGUAGACGUUGUUCAAUUUGUUGUUUAGUGAUCUACUCUUUUUCUCAAGGUUGGAGGAUCCUUUCUUCAUGUGCGUCUUCCUCCUGCAGAUGUGAUCGUUGGUA
rnacentral:lncRNA from 1 species